rnacentral:rRNA from 1 species
GUCUACAGCCAUGCCACCUUGAACAAGCCCAAUGUCUGAUCUCGGAAGCUAAGCAGGGUUGGGCCUGGUUAGUACAUGGUUGGGAGACUACCUAGGAAGACCAGGUACUGUAGGUG